rnacentral:misc_RNA from 1 species
GAUGAAGAACGUAGCGAAAUGCGAUAAGUAAUGUGAAUUGCAGAAUUCAGUGAAUCAUCGAAUCUUUGAACGCACAUUGCGCCCCUUGGUAUUCCGAGGGGCAUGCCUGUUCGAGCGUCAUUAUAACCCUCAAGCUCAGCUUGGUGUUGGGGCCUGCUGCACUGGCAGCCCUUAAAAUCAGUGGCGGCGCCAUCUGGCUCUAAGCGUAGUAAUUCUUCUCGCUAUGGAGUCCUGGUGGAUGCUUGCCAUCAACCCCCAAUUUUUCUAUGGUUGACCUCGGAUCAGGUAGGGAUACCCGCUGAACUUAAGCAUAUCAAUAAGCGGAGA